rnacentral:lncRNA from 1 species
AUUUAGAAAAACCUCAAAGGAAUUAGAAAGAAAUAAUAAGAAAUCUUAAAGAAAUAUUAGAAUAAUUACAAAUAUAUCUCAAAUACAUCUCAAUUCAAUCAUAAUUUAAUUCUAGUUGAAAUCUUAUUGGACUUCAUUCAAACUUUAGGCCAAAAACUAACUAAAUCUUAAAUCAUAAACAAACUCAAAUAAAAUCCUAAACCCUAAAUCAAAUCCUGACUAAACCCUAAAUUCUAAAUCAACUCUUAACCAAAUCCUAAUUCUAAAUCAAAUUCUAAUCAAAUCUUAAAUCCUAAACCAAAUCCUAAAUCUUAAACCAACUCUAAUUUUAAAUCAAAUCCUAAUAAAAUCCUAACCUUUAAUCAAACCUUAAUCAAACCCUAACUCUAAAUCAAAUUCUAACCAAAUCCUAAAUUCUAAAUCAAACCUUAAUCAAACCUUAAAUCCUAAAUCAAAUCCUAACAAAAUUCUAACUCUAAAUCAUAUCCUAAUCAAAUCCUAAAUCUUAAAUCAAAUUCUAACUAAAUCCUAAAUCCUAAAUCCUAAAUCAAACCUUAAUCUUAAAUCAAACUCUAACCAAAUCCUAACCCUAAAUCAAGCCCUAACCAAAACCUAAAUACUAAAUAAAAUCCUAAAUCCUAAAUCAAACCCUAACCAAAUCCUAACCCUAAAUCAAACCCUAACCAAUUUCUAAUCCUAAAUCAAAUCCUAACCAAACUCUAAAUUCCAAACCAAACCUUAGUAAUUUCUACAACAGAUUUAAACCUCAAUAACUAAUGAAUGAACUGUUAAUCUUAACUCAAAAUUUUUACACUUCUUAAAAAUUAAGUUGAAAACAAGCACAAAAAAUUUGAAAAUGAUCGAAAUUACCAAAUAGACAAUAACCUCAAAAAUGUGCUUGGAUAUUGGCCAGCCUCCUUCUCUAACCUUGAUGCUAAUCUCCAAGAGCCAAUAUCUCUCUUUUUCA